CGGCUUCCAGGGCUCCGCGGCGCGGGAGAGAGACGUGUCCGCUUGUGUGCAAAAAAACCACAUCACAACUACCCUCUGUGGACAAGCCCUUCAGUCAUGUACUAUUGCAAGUAAUAAAGCUGAAGUGAUGAGGAAACUGAGGCCCAAGCCAUUCACAGUUAAGACGUGGCCGAGCAGAACUCCAGCCCCUGCCCUGGCCCAACCUUGUGCUCACAUCACCUCCUCCCGACAUGUUCCUGCAGAAACGCUACCCAUUCAGGGCUUCUCCUUCCCUCCAAACACAGGCUGCAUCUUCAUGACUCUGUUCACGCCCUUCCCUUUCUCUUCCCAGUGAAAUCCUCAUCCUGGCUCCAAUAUUACCUUCUCUGUCUCCCUCCCCCUCCCCCACUCCCCAGAGGUCCAAUGAGUCGCUCCCUCCUGUUUGCACAGGCCGCUGGACCGCUAAGGCAACAGCUGCAUACAUUGAGCCUAGCAUAUGCUAGCACUGCGCUAGGCGCUUUACACAUGCUGUCUACUGCAGCUUGCCACCAGCGCUGUCGGGAAGAUGUUACGAGCCCCGUUUCACAGGUCUGUCUACUCCAAAACCCAUGUUUACUCUGUAAGAGCCUGCCACUCGCAGCAACACCCUCAGGGGUCUCCAUGCGCUGUACCACUGCAGCUGCAGGUUCCUUUGGUUGCAAACAUGAUUUCUAGGGUAAUACUAAUUUAGAAAACGAUGAUGAUCAUAGGUCAACGGAGAGGAAAGGUUAGAAUGAAUAGCUGCCCGAUGCAAUUACCCUGACUUCCUAGCCAGCUGACGGACGCUGACCCUCAAGGACCCCGUUAGAUUCCCUCAGGAACUUGAACAUGUAAAUUCAUCUCUGCACGUGGCGAGGACUGUCUCUGUUGACAGACACACAGCAAAACCAUAGAGGUAGGGACAGACAGCUUCUUUAUUGCUGGUACCAGUCUCUGGAGGUCUGGUCAUAUUCUUGCCCUUAAGAAUCUGUGAGU